GCGUAAGUUGUUAUAAUUACAUUUAUUAUAUCAUGGCACAUGUAGGAUGUUUGAUAAAUAAAUGAGAAUGUUGCAUUCCCAAAUGUCUGAUGCACAAUUUGAUGGUUUACAGGAAGAACGUUUUUCAUGUUGGUUAAAGGAAUAUGAAACAUUUGACCUGUUUAUGGAGAAGGGAGUAAUGGCCAGGCUAGACAAAAAGCUAGGUGAUGUGUUGGUUCAAGAGACAUAGUGCUAAUGUAUACAAACUCAACUUUUAGUGAAUGUGCCCCUUCUUAAUUUGGAAGGUGGGGUUUAUAUAUCUAUGUUCAAUAGAUUUGACCCUUAACAUCUGUUGGAUGAGAUUGAAUUUUUUUUAUAUUUUUGUUUUCUUUCAAUCUGAAAUGUAUUGAGUGCUGCUCA